GUAGGCAAAUCCGCUCUAACAAUUCUGAGGCGUUAUAGGGAAGGUUCUACGGAACCGAAGUAUCUGAUUCCAUGCUUCCAAGAAAAGCAUCUAGGGAGAGAAGUAGUGCCCGUACCGCAAACCGACACAGGUAGAUGAGGAGAGAAUCCUAAGGCCGACGGAAGAAUUGCAGUUAAGGAACUAGGCAAAUUGACCCCGUAACUUCGGGAGAAGGGGUGCCUACGAAAGUAGGCCGCAGAGAAUAGGCACAAGCAACUGUUUAACAAAAACACAGGUCUCUGCUAAAGCGUAAGCUGAUGUAUAGGGGCUGACGCCUGCCCGGUGCUGGAAGGUUAAGGGGAACACUUAGCGCAAGCGAAGGUGUGAACUUAAGCCCCAGUAAACGGCGGCCGUAACUAUAACGGUCCUAAGGUAGCGAAAUUCCUUGUCAGGUAAGUUCUGACCCGCACGAAUGGCGUAAUGACUUGUGCACUGUCUCAACUGCAAAUCCGGCGAAGUUGUAGUGCGAGUGAAGAUGCUCGCUACCCGCGAUUGGACGGAAAGACCCCGUAGAGCUUUACUGUAGCUUAGCAUUGAAUUUCGGUAUUGUCUGUACAGGAUAGGUGGGAGACUGGGAAAUCAGGGCGUCAGCCUUGAUGGAGUCGUUGUUGGGAUACCACCCUGAUAGUAUUGAAAUUCUAACUGGAUGCCAUGAAACUGGUGACAGGACAUUGUUAGGUGGGCAGUUUGACUGGGGCGGUCGCCUCCUAAAAUGUAACGGAGGCGCCCAAAGGUUCCCUCAGAACGGUCGGAAAUCGUUCGAAGAGUGUAAAGGCAGAAGGGAGCCUGACUGCGAGACCUACAAGUCGAGCAGGGACGAAAGUCGGGCUUAGUGAUCCGGUGGUACCUCGUGGGAGGGCCAUCGCUCAACGGAUAAAAGCUACCUCGGGGAUAACAGGCUGAUCUCCCCCAAGAGUUCACAUCGACGGGGAGGUUUGGCACCUCGAUGUCGGCUCGUCGCAUCCUGGGGCUGAAGUAGGUCCCAAGGGUUGGGCUGUUCGCCCAUUAAAGCGGCACGCGAGCUGGGUUCAGAACGUCGUGAGACAGUUCGGUCCCUAUCCGUCGCGGGCGUAGGAAAUUUGAGAGGAGCUGUCCUUAGUACGAGAGGACCGGGAUGGACUGACCUAUGGUGUACCAGUUGUUUCGCCAGAAGCAUUGCUGGGUAGCUAAGUCGGGAAGGGAUAAACGCUGAAAGCAUCUAAGUGUGAAGCCCACCUCAAGAUGAGAUUUCCCAUAGCAUAAGCUAGUAAGACCCCUUGAAGACUACAAGGUUGAUAGGUCAGAGGUGUAAGUGCGGUAACGUAUUUAGCUGACUGAUACUAAUAGGUCGAGGGCUUGACCA
rnacentral:rRNA from 1 species